rnacentral:tRNA from 1 species
GGAGAGGUGGCUGAGCGGUUGAUGGCACUCGCCUGGAAAGCGUGUAAGGGGAUGACCUCUCCUUCGAGGGUUCGAAUCCCUCCCUCUCCGCCA